GAUGAACGCUGGCGGCGUGCCUAAUACAUGCAAGUCGAGCGAACAGACGAUGAGCUUGCUCCUCGGACGUUAGCGGCGGACGGGUGAGUAACACGUGGAUAACCUACCUAUAUGACUGGGAAAACUUCGGGAAACCGGAGCUAAUACCGGAUAAUAUAUUGAACCGCAUUGUUCGAUAGUGAAAGACGGUUGUUCUGGCACUUAUAGAUGGAUCUGGGCCGCAUUAGAUAGUUGGGAAGGUAACGGCUUUCCAAGGCGACGAGGCGUGACCGACCUGAGAGGGUGAUCGGCCACACUGGAACUGAGACACGGUCCAGAGUCCUACGGGAGGCAGCAGUAGGGAAUGGUACGCAACGGGGGAAAGUCUUGCGGAGCAACGGCGAGUGAGUGAUGACGGUGUUGGGAUCGUAAUACUCUGUUUUUAGGGAUGAACAGCUGUGUAAGUAACUGUGCACGUCUUGACGGUACUUAAUCAAAAAGCACCGGCUAACUACGUG
rnacentral:rRNA from 1 species